AUCACUAACACUCACACCUAAACACUCAUCACUCUCUCACGACCAAACCCUAGAAAUCAACCUUGCACUCAAUCGAUCGAGAAAAACACCAUCCUUUCACCGCCAUUCAAGUAUAUUGUAACUAUGUCGGCAAUGUUGUUUAAAAAUUGUAGCCCGUUGCUGUCGACACCAUUUUGCUAGUAGUAUUAAAAUGCUGAGUUUGUUGCUG
rnacentral:lncRNA from 1 species